GGGCGAUCAUAAAUGGUGCCGAAACCUGGGAACUCGAGUUUAAGGAAGGAACUGAUCAGGUUUGCCGUCCUGCGUUGAUGUCCCGCAGGUCGGGACAGUUGGCGCCCAACGUGGUUGAUUGGAACCUUUGCCAGAGAAGCGAACGCCGCCCUCCGGGGAAGACUUGGCCAAGCGGGAUUCGGGAUCGCCUCGGUAAACGCGACCGGGAGUCAGAUCCAGGAGGAGAGUGAGGCCGGCGCAAGAUGCAGCUGACAAUCUAUGCGAAAAAUCCCCUGA